UAGAAAUAGGUCGUAAAAUUAAGUUGGAAUCAAUUUUUUUUGUAAAACCCCUAUACAGAAGGCUGUCCCCAGGGCACAAAUAUUGGCAUGGUGCCAAGAAAUGGCAAUGGUUCAUUUUUUGUUAAUAUUCAGGGAUAAAUUUCUUAGAAAGUAACGCUUCUUUUUUCAGAAUUUUGUGCAUUUAAGAAUCUCUAUGAUAUUAUCUAAACAAUAUGUAAAAUCCACCUUUGGACUCUCAAGGACAGAAAAGUUAUAUCGUAAUGAAAUUACCUCAAAUUCAAAUGAGGGAAAAAUUCAUGAUUUUAUAAGUUUUACUUUAAACAGUAAUUUUAAUGAAUUUCGUGUAAAAUAUUUACAAAUAUAAAGAAUGAAAAUUAUUUUUAAUUUUAUAAAAGCUAUAAAUAUAUUUUUUCCUGCUUUUCCUGUGUAAAAAACGUUUUUUACUUUUUAUUUAGAUUUUGUUAGAAUUAUCUCCCCUGUUGCGCUCUUCUGUAGAAAAGGUAGAUAAUGAUUAUGUUUACGAAGUAUAUAAACAGAUGUCUGUCAUCUAAUCGUUUUAGGCACAAAUUAUCUGUGAUUUGAAGAAAAUUGUCCCUCCUGUGAAAGUAAUUUGUUACGUAUAUACUAGUGGCCUCUGUAUAAAAUGCAUAAAAAUCAUGAAAACCAUCGGGAUCGAUGUACGCGGUUCCUUAACCACGUGUAAACAUUGUUGCAUCCUGAGACGUUUUGUUUGUUGUUACCGUUUUGUACGUCCUCAGAAAAAGAUUCAGGUGCGUGAAUUGUUAACGAGUCUUCAUAUUCUGGCUCUGAUUUUGAUGAAUAUGAUUCUGACAGCGAACAUUCAUUUGGUAGCAAGUCGGAUGUAGUGAUGAUGAUACCGAAUCAACAAUGUUUGAAUUUGAAAAAGAAACAGAUAUUUAUGAAAUGUUUUGAAGAUGGCUACAGUAAUGAUUUUAGGUUUCCAUAUAUGAUUAAAGGAAAAAGAGUUGUGAAAUACUUGUGCAGACUUUUCAAAUUAAAGGUCACCAUGUGUUCCUUGACAGAUUAUUCAAAUUCAUUUCCCUGGUUAGGGGUGGGCUUUACAAUGGGAUUUUCAGCUGUGGAGCUAUAGAAUUACUACAUAGGGUUUCCAAUGUAGUUUUGUGAACAGGAUCCAGAAAUAAGAAGAGGUGAGACAAUGCAGAUGCAGCAUUAGCAUUACCAUUUACUUACCGCUGCUGAGAAAAUGGUACAUGCUUUGAGUACUACUUUUGUGUAUUUGGAGACAGUCCAGUUCUUCUUUAAACCAGAAUUGGAAAUUUCAGUGUUUGUUAAAUUUUCUCCAGAAGUUAUUGGAUGCUACAUAGGAAAAAAAUGGGGUCAUACUGAAUAGAAUCGUUUGGACACACCUUAUAGAUUUUGAAAGCUUGAGACCUCAAGAUCAACCCAAAUGGUGUAUCAAACAUGAAGAAAAAAGACAAUUUAUGAUUGAAGAAGCUUGCGUAGUAGCCAAAUUUCAGGGUAUUUCAUGUAUGUUAACUUAUACUAUUUUAUCGGUACAUGUACUUAAACAUUGUUUAUAUCAGGUUUCACUUGCAGGAAUACACAAAAAUUCAGAGUAAAUUUUAAGUGUUUGUUAUGUUAGAAAAAAUCAAAGGUCAACAGUGCUAUAGUUUUACCAAAUAUAACACUAUUAUAAAGACUAAUUUCCUGUAUACAGGUAAAGCAAAUAAUUCAGAAAUGAUUUGGAGAAACUGUGAUUUUUUUCUUUUAAAUCUUACCUUUAUUUAGAACCAUGAUGUAUACUUAAACAAGUAGAUUUUUUUUCAAGCAUACAAAAUUUCAAUGUCAUUUUAAAAUUGGAAGUGAAUAUAAAAUAUCAGGAAGCAGUCAAUUUUAAGUAAAUAAUUAUUGUUGUAUGUACUUAGUUCUUGAGUUAUAUUAAUAUUUUAAUCUGCAAUGAAAUUAAAAUUUAUAAAUGUUCUAAUUUGUUGAUUUUUUAAACUUGGUGUUCAUUCAUUUUGAGUUUGUUGCCAUGACAAUAUGCCUGUCAAGAAAAUGGCUCUGAUAUUCCUUUUUGUUCAGUUUGACCCUUGACCUUUGACAUUGUGACCUCAAAAUCUAAAGGGGUCCUCUAUUUUUCAAGAAACCAGUGUACUAAAUUUGAUGUCUGUCAAGCAAUGAGUCCUCAAGAUU